GUGGCGAAUUCGCUCAGUAACACGUGGCCAAACUACCCUACAGAGAACGAUAACCUCGGGAAACUGAGGCUAAUAGUUCAUACGGGAGUCAUGCUUGAAUGCCGACUCCCCGAAACGCUCCGGCGCUGUAGGAUGUGGCUGCGGCCGAUUAGGUAGACGGUGGGGUAACGGCCCACCGUGCCGAUAAUCGGUACGGGUUGUGAGAGCAAGAACCCGGAGACGGAAUCUGAGACAAGAUUCCGGGCCCUACGGGGCGCAGCAGGCGCGAAACCUUUACACUGCACGCAAGUGCGAUAAGGGGACCCCAAGUGCGAGGGCAUAUAGUCCUCGCUUUUCUCGACUGUAAGGCGGUCGAGGAAUAAGAGCUGGGCAAGACCGGUGCCAGCCGCCGCGGUAAUACCGGCAGCUCAAGUGAUGACCGAUAUUAUUGGGCCUAAAGCGUCCGUAGCCGGCCAUGAAGGUUCAUCGGGAAAUCCGCCAGCUUAACUGGCGGGCGUCCGGUGAAAACCACAUGGCUUGGGACCGGAAGGCUCGAGGGGUACGUCUGGGG
rnacentral:rRNA from 1 species